rnacentral:rRNA from 1 species
AUACGGAGGGUGCAGGCGUUACUCGGAAUCACUGGGCGUAAAGCGCGCGCAGGCGGGCUGAUAAGUUGGAUGUGAAAGCCUACGGCUCAACCGUAGAACUGCAUCCAAAACUGUCAGUCUAGAGUGUGGGAGAGGAAGAUGGAAUUAGUUGUGUAGGGGUAAAAUCCGUAGAGAUAACUAGGAAUACCAAAAGCGAAGGCAAUCUUCUGGAACACUACUGACGCUGAGGCGCGAAGGCGUGGGGAGCAAACAGGAUUAGAAACCCCAGUAGUCC